UCUUUUUUAAUAUGGCGAAAGAAUCAAAACUAAUAAUUUCUGAUUUUGUCUUUUUAUUAUGUUGAUCAAAAUUAUUUUCUUUCCUUUUAUUUUUUAACCUAAUGUGAGAGUAUAAAUAGGAGCUCAAUUGACACAAGAAAAGAAAUAAAAAAUAGCCUCCCAAACCUCUAUCUCACGUGUGAUUUUUUUCAAAAAAACUAAAAUCAUACAAAGAACCUUCAUUCCUUCAUCACCACAAACCAAUCUCACACCACACUUUUCUCCACCAUAACCUUCAACAUAAACCUCCAUUAAACCACCUUACUACCAUCAUCAUCAUAAUCAAAAUAACUUAUCAUACAAUUCUAACCAUACCAAACUCUAUCAAAUUACAACCCUUCUCCUAAAACAACUCUCCACUAAACCAUCACAUAAUCAAGCAUCCUAAAGAAUCAAUAGUCACAACAUAAAACAACCACAACAACCAACAACAAUAUUCAAACAACAAAAUCAUAAAGAGCAGAACUAAAAUAAAAAAGAAGAAGGAGAUUCGAACUAAUCAGAAUCCGCCGCGAAACCACAGUCAACAAUAACCACCACGCAAGAAAGCAUCAAUUGCAACAACCACACACACUACCUCGUUAACUGACGCAACCACCAACUCUAAUCGAUACAACGCCCCAUGAGACCUCUUGUGCGUGCCCUCCUCCCUCGUGUGUCUCCACUGGUUGGUCACCCUGUUCGGUCAUUCCGUCGCUUCUGAUCCAGUAGUUUGCUUUCAUUUUUGUUUUGUUUUGUGAUUUUAUUUCAUCGUGAAAUCAGGUUAUUAUUGUGUUGUUAAUUUGUGAAAAGAGAAGGAGAGAGAUUGAGAUUGAGAAAGAGAAAUAGGGAUUUCAAAUUCAAAAUAUUUUUUAUCUCUUUCUUGUAUUUUAUUUUUAUUUUUUAAUUUAAAAGGGACAUGUGUCAAGAUCUGAGUGGUUAUUGAAUUUAAGUGGAUGAGGAAUUUUGUACAAGACUCCUCUAUAGGGUCUAUUUGGUUCUUACUUUUUAGCCAUCAGAUCUCAAUCAGAAGGCCCAGAUGCCAGGAUCGCAUAGCCCAGACCGCGACCUUCUAAUCAUCAUCCAAUGGUCCAUCAUUUUGGUUUGCCUUUAUUUUUGUUUAUGUGGGUUGGGUCUUCGGACCCUCAAGCCAUUUACCCCCGCUUGUUAUGCUUGCACCCCAUUUUUCUUUAUUUCUAAUAUUUAAUUUUAUAGGUUGAUUAAAUUUAAUUCUUAAAUAUUAUAACAAUCAAAAACCCCACAUUAACAUUCUAAUUAAAAUCAAACUCUUCCACAAUAGAAUCAAAUUACUUUUUAAAAUUAAGCUUAACCUUCUUCACAAUUAAAUCGAAUGAAAAAGGAUUAGUUGGACAUAAUAUCCAUUAUAGUCCCUGAGUAUAUAUAAUCUCCUCGAUGACCCCAAAGUAUGCUCUAGAUGCCAGUACAUGAUUCUUAUCUUUCGAACUAGAGAAGUAAAUGAAUUUAGCUUAAACCAUAAUCCCUUUAUUUUGCAUGGUAAUACAGUGAUCCUUUGAUUUUGUAUAGAAUGAAUAUUUAGUAAUUCCGUAUGCACUCCAAGUUAUUACAUUAAACUUAGGCAUAUGUGUAUUCCACUUAAUUAUCUAUGAUACAUUAAUCUCUUUAUAAACCCUUUUAUUAAAACAAGUUAUGAAUGUUUUGUUAUACUCUGUCAACAAUAUUUUUUCACUCAUCCGGGGAAAUUUUUCCUUGAAGACUUAUGUGAAUGGUCAAGUAAGGUUGAACUUCAUUAAAGUUAUUCAAUAGAUAUAAAUGUGUUUGAAGAAGUACAUCUCGAUCAAAUUUCUUAACAUUUAAACCUUGAAUACCUCUACCAUCAUAUCUUCCAACAUGAAGAGAGUCAUGAAUUCCUAUAGAGUUCACUUCUGAAAAAUAGUUUGUACAAAACUCAAUAGCUUAUCCGGUGAUGUACCGUUCAAUAAUCGAAGCUUCCAAAUGGUGAUGAUUCUUUGUAUACCCUUUAAAAAUCUUCACGUAUCGCUCUACCAAAUACAUCCACCGUAAAUAAACUGGACCACAAACUAUAAUCUCCCUUAUUAGAUGAAUAAUUAAGUGAACCAUAAUGUCGAAAAAUGAUGGAGGGAAAAACAUCUCUAAUUGACACAAGAUAAUUGCAGCCUCAUGUUCCAACUCAUCUAAAUUUCUAGGUUCAAUGACUUUACUACAUAUAGCAUUGAAGAAUACGCAUAACCUGGUUACAGUUACCCUUACAUUUUUUGGUAGAAUGCCACGAAGAACCACUGGUAGAAGUUGUUGCAUCAAGACGUGACAAUCAUGAAGUUUUAAUCCAACUAAUUUGAGAUCAUUCAUUGAGACAAGUUUCUUCAUAUUUUAUGAGUACCCUUGAGGAAUUUCGAUACCCUUCAAACAAUCGCAAAAACUUUUUUCUUAACGGGAUUUAUUACCUAUAUCUUUUGGGACUAAAUUUUGGGACAAUAUGAUUUAUUACCUAUAUCUUUUGGGACUAAAUAUGAUUUUUCUUAACGGAAUUUCGAUACCCUUCAAACAAAUGCAUGAGGGAAAAUAUGAUUUAUUACCUAUAUCUUUUGGGACUAAAUUUUGUCGUAUACCCAUCACCACCAUAUAUUAACGGGAUUUCUUAAUAUCUUUUUUCUUGCCUUUAAUGUUUAGAAGUGUUUCAAUCAAACUAUCACAUACAUUUUUUUCACAUGCAUGCCAUCAAGACAAUGUCUUACAUCGAGGCUAAACUAAUAUGGAAGAUCAAAGAACACCGACCUCUUUUUUCAAAUAUUUUUCUUCACAUGUCAUUUUUGUUUCUUUCCAAAUAUAACACUAAUGUCUUGUUGUCUUUGAUAAACUUCCUUCCCGGUUAAGGACUUUGAAGCGAUACCAGACUCCUAUUUUCCAUUAAAACCAUCCACAACCUACAAUAUGGAUGAUUAGAUCUUAGAAAUUUUCUAUGCCCAAGGUAAACAAUCUUAUUUCUAUUUUUUUAAUUGGUGGGAGCAUUAUCAUCUUCACAUAUUGGAAAAGUUUUAUGUCCCUUGACGUUGUACCUAGACAGAUUAUUGUAUACAGGAAAGUCAUUGAUUGUGCAAAACAACAUGGCACCCAGCUGAAAGUUAUGACUUGUAUAUGCAUUUUCAACAUCAACACCUUCCUCCCACACAAUUAUCAAAUCUUCAAGAAAUGGCGUUAAAUAAAUAUUUAUGGCGUUCCCUGGUUGUUUUGGACCCAGCUGAAGGUUAUCACUUGUAUUUGUUUUGGACCCGAAACAAAUAUUAUUUAGAGUUUACAUCUUGGUUUUCAUAAAAUUUGAGAGAACAAAACUGAGGUAAAAAUUGCGUUCAAUUUAUUUAAAUAAAAUAUUAAUCAAAUUUUAAUGUCGAUUUUCUAAAAAACCCGAGGUAUAAGAUGAUUUAUAAAAUAAUGGAAAAAAUUUGGUUCUAAAUAAAGCAUAAAUUUGUAGGAACUGAGAAUCGAAGCUUAAACUCUGAGCUACAUAACAUUUAGUUUUCUAUAAAACCGAGACAUAAGAUUAAAAAAUUUAAAAAUAAAAAAUAAAAUGAUGCAUUUCAGGUCAUUUGAACUCAGAUUUUUAUUGGCUGAGGUGAAAGUUUUGUCAUGAAAUAUAUUAUUUGUAGUAGUGUGAGAAAAAAUCAGCAAUCCUAAUUCAUCCCCUCUAUUAGAUUCCAUCUCAUAAUUACAAUUUGGUAUUAGAGCAAGAGUUGGGUAAAUUGAUCCUAGAUCUGAGACAAAUGGCUUCCCUUAAACCAUUCCUAGGAGAUUGUUCUAACAUAAAUAGACCACCUAGUUUCACCAGUGAAUGUUAAGAUUUUUGUAAAAUUAGAAUGCAAAUGUUUCUUGAGUCACAAGGUGUAAAAGUUUAGAAAGUUUUUAAACGGUCCCUUCAUUCAUAGUACAAUCGUUGUGGGUGUAAAUCAACCAAAUUUUGAAGAUGCAUGGAAUGAAGCUGAUAACAAGAAAUUUUUAUAUUAUAAGAAGGCAGAAAUAUUAUACAUUCUUCCUAAGUAUAAAUCCUUGUGUGUUCUUUACUUUAUGCACUUUAAAAUUCAGCAUUUUACCUUCUUCCUAAGUAACAUUCAUAUCAUUGCUUCCGAUACAUUAAAAAGUUAAGAAAAUUAGCACAAAAAUGAGAAAAAUUCAGCAAUCCUAAUUCAUCCACCUCCCUCCACCCUCUUAGAUUGCAUCUCAUAGUUACAAUUUGGUAUUAAAGUAAGAGUUGGGUAAAUUGGUCCUAUAUCUGAGACAAAUGGCUUCUACUAAACUAAUGUUGUAGCAUAAAUAGAUCACCUAGUUUCAUUGGUGAAUGUUAAAUUUUUUGGAAAAUUAAAAUAUAGAUGUUUCUUGAGUCACAAGGCGAAGAAGUUUGGAAAGUUGUAAAAAAAUGGUCCCUUCAUUACUAGUAUAAUUUUUUAGGGUGGAAACCAACCAAAACCUAAAGAUUCAUGGAAUAAAGAUGAUAACAAGAAACUCCUAUAUGAUAAGAAGGCCACAAAAAUUAUAGCAUCUACCUUAGAGAUGGAAGGUAUCAAACCGCCAAACCGCUAAAGAAGUAUGUGAAACCUUUGAAACCACACACGAAGGAACGAAAGAAGUAAAGUGGUAUAGACUAAACACUCUCUCUCAAGAAUAUGAUAUGUUUAGAAUGAUACCAAGAGAAAAGAUUCAAGAUUUGCAAAAGAUGUUUAUUCAUUUGAAAAACCAUUUAACCUCUCUUAGAAAAACCUUCACCAACAAUGAAUUAAAUUUAAAGGUUCUUAGAUCUUUAACAAGAGCACGACAACCAAAAGUGACUUUAAUUUCAAAAAAGGAAAGUCUAUGAAAGAUGACAUCGACAAUGGUGUUUGGAAAAUUUCAAAAACAUAAAAUAGAACUCGAUCGAUUGGAAAAGCAUGAAGGUCGUGUAUAAUUAGAUCUCUUUCUUUAAACCCUAAAGUCAAAACUUAUUAUUAUGAUCAAUAAGAAGAGUAUCAAUAAGAUAGUGAAGAAUAAAAUGAUGAAAAUAUAGAAUUUGUUAGAAAAUUUAAUUUAAUCAAAUGGAUCGAGGCUAGAAUCGUGAAUGAAAUUACUUUCCUUAUAAGUAUUUCAAGCACUCUCAAAUAUCUUAGAGUUGGAACACAGGAAUACCCUGAAUAAUUCAGCCUAUACUUGAGUUUGCACAAGAUCGAUGAAAACUCGAACGUAGGGAAGAAUAUCUGGAAUUUUAGUGAAAAAGAUGUAUGUUUUUCUUGUGUUUUUCUAAAUCUGGAAUGAAUUAUUUAUAGGUCAUAUUGGUGUUUCUUCACAAGGCUGCGACCCUUGGUGAAACGACUUCCUUUUACCAAGAGUUACAAGUUUUUGCCAAAAGUUACAUUGUUUCGCCUACUACAACAUUCUUCAAGAGUUGCAUACUUUCAUUCUACAACACUUCACGAAGUGUUGCUUAUUUCUGAAUUCAAACUUACUGCAACACUUUACAAAUGUUGCCUAUUUCUGAAUUCAAACCUAUUGCAACACUUCACAAGUGUUGCCUAUUUUUGAAUUCAAAAUUAAUCUUCACUUGCAUAUUUUCUUGUUAUUUUGGAAUACACACAAGACUAUUAAUUCUUAAUAAUUUACAACAAUACCCCCACUUGUUCUAAUAAUGACAAGACCAAUUCCAGAAAAGAGAAAUAGAGAAUGUUAAUACAAUUAAGUAUCUUUCAAUUUGAACUUAACCUUAUUAAGGAUAAUGCAAAGUUUAAUCAGAAUGUUAGGUAGUUAUGCUUUGAACUGUUAUCCCUCUUGAUUAUAUCGUCAUUAACUUACAUACAUUCUUUAAUGGUUUUCCGCCUACAUCUCUCUCCUAGCACUACUUAUGGCCAUGUGUUUUUCCUGUUUUUAUGAAUUUUUCAUGAGAGAAACUCCAACUCUCAAUUUGAGACGGCAUCAUCUAGAAAUUCAGAUAGGUGAAGUUCAUUUUGUAUCUACUUAUUGAGAUACAUAUCCUCGAUAUAGAACUUCAUUGAGAGUUUGGAAAAACUCAACCCUCAACAUGUAAUAGUCAACAUUGUCACAUAAUGUUGCACAAACAUCCAAGUCAACAACUUGUUGUUACCCGUUGAAUCUUAGGUUAAUAUUUGUUAACUUCAUAUUGGAUUGCUACUGUUGUCAGAACCCUUAUUCAAGGAGUUUCAAUCCCAUACCUCUCGAGGUAGUCUUUACUAAAUAUCUGGUCAGUGGUCUAGCAAAUGGGUUAAACAAAUUAUAGUUCGAUCAUAUAUGUAUGAAAUGGUUACACCCUUAAUCAAUUUUCUCACGAAAGAAUGUCUAAGUCCUACUUGCCUAGACUUUCUUUUAUACACUUUUUGUAUGCUCUAGGUAAAGUGGCUUGACUACCGCAAUGUAUUAACACCUUUGAAACAUUGACUUUAGCCAAUGGAACUUCCAAUAGAAGGUCCCUCAAUCAUUCAACUUCUUCACCAGCAGAAGCAAGAUCCUUAAACUCUGAUUAUAUGGUUGAGAGAGUGAUCCAUAUUUGUUUCUUGAUCUUCCAAGAAAUCGCACCCCAACUAGUGUUAAUAUCCACCCAAAUGCAGAUUUAUGAUAUUCAACACUCCAUAUCCAACUCGCAUUGGUAUAUCCUUCUAAUAUAGAAGGAAACCUACCGUAAUGGAGGCCAAAAUUAUUGUUUUUCAAAAUAUAACCAAAAUUAUUUGUGAUGGCCUUCCAAUGCUCAUAAUUUGGAUUUCUAGUAAAUCUACUCAUCUUACUAACUACAAUUUCUAUGUCAGGUACAUUGCAUCAAAUGCAUUAGACAAUCAAUUGCACUUGCAUAUUUCAAUUGGGCCAGAAUUCUUCCAUCAUUAUUUUAAAGUUUGAGACUAGGAUCAAAUGAAGUACUCAUUUUAUUUAAAUGUAAGUGUUUGAACUUAUCAAGUAAUUUCUCAACAUAAUGUGUUUGACUAAGUUCAUAACCCACACUAUUUUGCUUUACUUUGAUCUUCAAAAGCUUGUCAACUAGUCCAAAAUCAUUCAUCUUGAAUGUGGAAGUUAGAAACCUCUUUGUUUCUAAAAUUCCAUUCAUCUUGUUGCUAAUGAUCAAUCAUAUAAUCAACAUGGAGACAAAUGAAUAUCACAAUAUUCUCAUACAACUUCGUGUAAACACACUUGUAACAAGAAUUAGAUGAAGAAGAUUUUUAGAUAAUCAUGAGUGAUGAUGCAAGAAGGUUUUAGAUAAAGUGAGAGAUGAAAUUAUGAGUAGUUUAAAGUAGUAUAAUAUAAAUUGCAAUGAUCACCUUAGUUAUAUUCACUUGUCUCAAAUCUUCACUUGAAUUUCUAUGUUAAACCUUUUUGAUCGACUUCAUCAUUGACGUGUAUGACACUUUUGAUCCUUUUCUUCUUUGAUAAUCUUUGUCUUCAUCAAAAUUGAACUAGAUAUAAGAUAUAUUCCUCACAAUCUCUCCUUUUUUAUGACAAACUCUUUGAAUUCGUGUUUUGAUAAUGAUUGAAAAGUCUCCCCUUAAGUUGUAUGUCUCUCUUUUAAUUGGUGAAUCUUGCAAUGACAAAGUCAAACUUUUGAUGUCAUUGUUUUAGUGCUUAUUUUUUAAUCCACGCGGGGAUUUGACAAGCUUCCACACCUUUUAUUCAUUACCAAGAAGCACAUAACCUUAUGGUUGCUCCAUGUAAAUUUCCUCAUCGAGAUCUCCAUUUUGGAAUAUCGUUUUGAAAUUCAUUUGAUGAACUAUAAGGUCAUGCAAAGAAACUAAUGCAAACAAUAAUUUAAUUAUCGUCAUCCUUGAUAUCAGUGCAUAUGUGUUUAAAUAAUCAACACCUUUUCAUCUAAAACUCUUGGUUACUAAUCUAUCUUUGUAAGUGUUUAGUGUACCAUCCUUAUGAUACUUCCUUCUAAACACCCACUAGCAUCCAAUGAGUCUUAAUUCUUUAGGUAGAUCAACAAGUUUCCAAGUAUUGUUUGAGAUUAUUGUAUCCAUUUCAUCUUGGAUAUCAUCCUAAAAAAAAGAGUCAUUUGAAGCUAUUACUUCCUUAUAAGUCUUAGGAUCAUCUUCCACUUGAAGAAUAAUAGGAAAUUUACAAACAAAAUUCGCAUUAUUCCUUCUACUAGAUAAAAGAAAUAAAUUGAUUAACGAUUUUCUUUGGUCCUAGAUCGUUAGCCUUUCGGACUCUCUUGCUUAUUCUAAGUUCGAGUUGUUUUUUCAACAAUAUGUGACGAACUUCCGAUUUGUGUUUUAACAAUUCGUGAAGAAUCUUCCUCAUGAGGUUCUUCAUUUGUCGUAAUCUUGAAUUCCAUAUCCUCCAUUAAAAGAUUCUCAAAAUUUCAAAUCUCAGGAUUCAAUAAUUACAUUAGACUCCAAAUUCAAAAAUAUAUAUAAGUCAUGAAAAUAAAUUUCAUCAAACAAAAACAAUUGACAUGGCAUAUAGAUCAUAAUUCAAUUUCGUAAUUUAAAAUUAUAAACUUUAAUAGAUUUAACUACUUUAAUAAUUAUCAAAUCCAAACUUUAAGAAAUUUCAAAAUUUUCAAUUUCAAUUACCUUUCACAUAGUAAUUAUUAUUUUAAUAAAAAAUGGGAAAAUAAAUAAAAAAUACAAAACUUUACAAUAUGUAUAUUUGAAAAUUGAUUACAUUCUAAAAUAAAUAUAAAUAAAUAAAUCAAUAAUAACAACAACAUGCGUUGCCACGUUUAUAUUCAGUCUUAAAAACAUGAUAAAUUUGUAACGUUAUGACCACCAAUAUAGGAUUUCAAUGCAUGCAUAUGUCUCAGUGUGAAAUUGAAGCGAAAACUAAUCAAGAUUUGUAUGACAGUAACAGUACCCAGUCUAUGGGAAAAAAAAAGAUUCUAUUAAUUGUCAAAAUUUAUUUUUAGAUUGAUAAUCAUUCCUUAAUUAUAUAAAUAAUAGAUUAUCUAUAAUUCAAAAUACUACAUAUUCACUAAUCAUCGGAAAAUCAUAUAAUUAGUAACUAAAGCUAUGCUUCCAAUUAUUAAAAACUAGAAUUAUUUUAUUUGAAUCUAGAUAGUAUGAUUUUUAUAAUGUUCUAAUAUCUAUGAAAAACAAUAAACACAUAUCCGUAUUUAUAAUAAUUAUUUUUCUUGUGUUUAGAAUGUGUUUGCGAUGCAACAUUUCAUCCUUUGAUGAUUGAAAUGGAAGUCUCGGUUGUUAUUAUUUAAAACACUUGUUAGAAAAACUAAUUUAAUCAAAUGGAUCGUGACUAGAAUCAUGAAUGAAAUCAUUUUUCUUGUAAGUACUUCAAACGCUCUCAAAUAUCUUAAAGUUGAAACGCAUGAAUACCCAGGAUAAUUUAGCAUAUACUCAUGUUUGCACAACAUCGAUGAAAACUAGAAUGUGGAGAAGAGUAUAUGAAAUUUUAGUGAAGAAGAUGUAUGCUUUUGUUGUGUUUUUAUGAAUCCGGAAUGAAAUAUUUAUAGGUCAUAUUGGUGUUGUUUCACAAGGUUGCAACUCUUUGUGAAACAACUUCCUUUUACCAAGAGUUACAAGCAUUUGCCAAAAGUUACGUACUUUUACCAAAAGUUACAUUUUUUCACAUACUACAACAUUCUUCAAGAGUUUCAUACUUUCAUUCUGCAACACUUCACGAAGUGUUGCCUAUUUUUUAAUUCAAACCUACUGUAACACUUUACAAAUAUUGCCUAUUUCUGAAUUCAAACUUAUUGUAAUACUUCACAAGUGUAUAAAUUCAAAAUUAAUCUUCAUUUGCAUAUUUUUUUUGUCAUUUUGAAACAUAUUCAAGAGUAUUAAAUCUUAAUAAUUUAAAACAUAAGUACUAGUCAAGAAGUUUUAAAAAUUCUUGAAAAAUGACAAAACACUGAAAAUUGGUCAAUGAAAGAAGGUUAAUGAAGCAUAAACUUUAAAGCAAAAGGUCACUUACUUUAUAUUUGGAAAAUAAGGACACAUUAAUAGUGAUUUUCCUUUUCUUCAAAAGAAAAAUAUAUUCAACAACAAAAAGGAUAGAAAUCCAAGAAGAGCGUACGUCACUUGGGAAGACAAUGAUGUGAGCACAAUUUCUAAAUGAAGAACAAACACAUCUAUCUUUUAUAGUUUCACAUCACUCUGAUGAUGAUGAUAAGGUCAGUAACUUUGACUCAAGUGAUAAACCUUCUUAUGAUGAAUUACAAGAUCUCUUUAAUAAUUUGCAUGAUGAAUGUAUAAAGUUUUAUAGAUUAUAUACUAAACAAAAGGAAAUAAUUUCAUCCCUAAAAAUUAAAACUAAUACCAUGCAAGAGAAAUUAGAUAAAGUUAAAACAAGUCCAGCAUGUAAUAAAUGUAAUUCUCUGACACUAAAGACUAAUGAAUUAAAUCAAGUGAUAUGCAUUAUGAAAAAGGACAACUUGAUUUAGAGAGUGUUCUAAAGAAUGAUAUACGAAUGAUAGAAGUGAACUAGGAUAUUCCAAAUUCGAUAAACCUAGUCCAAAUAAAUAAAAUAUUAUCUUUGUUAAGUAUAAAAAUGCUUACAAUAAUGUUCAACCAAAUAAGGUGCAAAAAUAAUUUUCAACCAAAAGUGAAUUAUAUGAAAAAUACUUUCUAUUCUUUUAAAAAGAAUAAGUCUUCUAAUUCUUCAUGUCUUUAUUGUAAUCGUAAGAGACAUACCCCUAAUACAUGCUAUAUGAGAAUAUUGUAUGUACCAAAGGGAAAACAUGUGUGGAUUGAGAAAGAAACUAAUCAAAAGAAUCCAAAGAAUUUUGGAUACCUAGAAAGAAAUAUUAAUUUAUUUUUGCAUAUCUACUUGGAAACCAGUUAACAUUGUAUUAUAAAGAUUGAUUGUUCAAAGCACAUGGAAAUCAUAUGGUACGGUAAGAUUAAAAUCAUAUUAUCUUGGAUAAAAUUGAUACAUAAUUUGUAUUCUUCAUUGGUUAUCAUAUGAUUGAAUUGAAAGUUUUGACUCUUUUGAAGAAGAGUUUAUAUCUCAAAAUAUGUUGGUUUGAUUGGUGCUAUAAUUUCAUAUCCUUAUUUGGUAUUCAAGCAAAGUGUGUAACUUUACCCCUUGGAUUAAUUUAUUAUUCAUAUGGAUUGUAUUAUUGCAUUCUCCAUUAUAUUCCUAUGGUAAUUCUUCAUUUUCUUAUUUUUGAUUAUGUCAAAAGAUGUAGAAAUGAUUGUUCUUGUUAUGUUCAUAAUAUUUUCAAGGGGAGAAAGUCUUAAAUUGCAAAACAAAAGGGGAGACAUAUAAGAUUUGUGGAGUUUCUAGUUGCUACAAAUAUUAUAAAAUUCAGAAAUAUUAAAGCAACUUGUUAAUGAAUAAGAAAUUUCAAAUGAUGUUUUUCAUCAUCAAAAAAGACAGAGAUUGUGGAGAAGAUCAUGUCUUUGACCUUGGUUAUUGUUUUGAAGACAACAAAUAAAUCAACAAAAGAAGAAAAUUAGAAAGAUAACAACAACAUAAAAAAAAAUAAAGAUGAAGACUAUGAUUGAUCAAAGGUGAUUGGAAAAGAUCUUCAAAGUUUAGCUUAAAUAUAUUGACCUUUAAAAUAUCAUGAUUCAUCUCUUAUAUCACUUAAAGACUCAAUAAUAUUUAUCAAACUUCAUCUACAAACUUCUUAAAUCAUUACGCAUAAAAGACCAUCGACGUAAUGCCUUAAAAUGUUGUAUUUCUUGCUUGAAGUGAAGUUGUAAUCAAUUAUAGCAUACUUGUAAUCAAUUACAAGUUGUAUGAUUUCAAAUUUUCUUCAUGUUGGAAUAUUGUAACCGAUUACAUGCUUAUUCUAAUCGAUUACAAGUUGAAGCAAUACGUAUUUUCAUCAAACAAAAACUUUGUUUUGAAUGGAAAAGUUUCAUGAACCUUUUUAAAGACAUGCAAUCGUUCAUAGAGGUUUAUAGAGGUGUACAUAAAGCAUUAUACACCAGAAAAUGAAUUAAGAUCUUUAACAUUCUUAUUAACACAAUUCAAAGAUCAUUUUCGAAUAUCAUUUAUUUUCAAAAUGGUUUUAAAGUUUGUAAACAUUCAUAAACAUGAAAAGUUUCAAGACCAAAAUAGAAUAUUAGCAUUACAUGAUAUACAAUUGAAUUAUAAUAUUGAUAAGAAUCAACAAUCAAAUUUUGAAUGUGAUUAGUGUAUAGCCAACAUAAUUUCUUCGUUUCUCAACAAAUCUAUUGUGACUUAUUUCACCAUCGUGUUUGUUAAAGAUCAUCACAGCGUUUGGUGAUUGUAAAAAAUUUAUUUGAGUUGAGGUGAUUCAAAGUCCAUCAUAGGGUUAAGGACGUUGUAUAAACAAGAGAAUGGUGAGCUUUUAUGGUUGGUUGAUAGGUGUUUCUUUAUAGUGCUAGGUGUGUGACUUGUAAAGAGCAUUUGAUCAUAGUAGAAAAUCCUCUAAGUGAAUAGAGGGACUACAUGUACUUUUGAGUUAAUAAGGGGACUAGUAUUAAUCCUCAUCUCUUCUUUAUAUUUGGAACUUUACCUUCUUCCUAAGUAACAUUCAUAUCAUCACUUAGCAACAUAAGAAACUUAGCGCAAAAACGAGAAAAAUUUAAAAA
rnacentral:lncRNA from 1 species